ACCAUCCCAGUUCGGAUCGCAGGCUGCAACCCGCCUGCGUGAAGUUGGAAUCGCUAGUAAUCGCGGAUCAGCAUGCCGCGGUGAAUACGUUCCCGGGCCUUGUACACACCGCCCGUCACACCAUGAGAGUCGGGGACACCCGAAGUCCGUAGCCUAACCGCAAGGGGGGCGCGGCCGAAGGUGGAUUCGAUAAUUGGGGUGAAGUCGUAACAAGGUAGC
rnacentral:rRNA from 1 species